AGUCAUGCUCAUAAACCAGGUCAUUCACAUACUGCGAUUCAUGUACUGAAGAUUUUUUUCCCAUUUUCAGGAAUCAUCUAAAGUGCGCAACAUAGGAAAUCUCAAGGAAGAUUAUUGUCCACAUUAAAGGCAAAUGUCUCUGAUGACCUGACCUUGCUCUUUUGUUAACUCAGUACCACAAACAGUGGGCAAGUGUUGGUUUGUUGCCAUUUCAAAUAUUCUCUUUCUCCUCCUGGGGACACUCACCCUACUGGAGUGGGACCUCAAAACUGGGGCUUCAAAGUGAAACGCUGUCCUGGCCAACUGUCAACCUCGAGCUGGUGAACAUGUCGUCAGGUUCACAUGAAGGAAUUUUACCUGUGUCUCAUUGGCUCAAGGAGGGAUGAUUCUGUCUGCUGACUCCUGGACUUGAAAGCAGAUGGUGGAGGAGCCCACGGCUUCUGGAACAGCACAGGUGGAGGUCAUGAUUUCUGCUGUUGCCCUUUGUCUUCCUACUGAAAGGCUGAUUGUCCCAGAAAUGUUUAAGGAAUAUGUGUGAACAUGUUUGUAUGUGUAAAUGUGUCUGUGUAAAAUUAGUUUUGCUCCAUAAAUCCACUUUUCUCAAGAGAAAGGUAAUAAAUCAGG